UGGACGAAAGUCUGACGGAGCAACGCCGCGUGAGUGAAGAAGGUUUUCGGAUCGUAAAACUCUGUUUUCAGGGACGAAUGUGUGGAUUGUAAAUAAUGAUCCAUAAUGACGGUACCUGACAAGAAAGCCACGGCUAACUACGUGCCAGCAGCCGCGGUAAUACGUAGGUGGCAAGCGUUGUCCGGAAUUAUUGGGCGUAAAGCGCGCGCAGGUGGGAUAAUCAGUCUGAUGUUAAAGUUCGGGGCUUAACCCCGUGAAGCAUUGGAUACUGUUAUUCUUGAGUGCAGGAGAGGAAAGUGGAAUUCCUAGUGUAGCGGUGAAAUGCGUAGAUAUUAGGAGGAACACCAGUGGCGAAGGCGACUUUCUGGACUGUGUCUGACACUGAGGCGCGAAAGCCAGGGUAGUGAACGGGAUUAGAUACCCCGGUAAUCCUGGCCGUAAACGAUGGGUACUAGGUGUUGGGGGUAUCGACCCCUCCAGUGCCGGAGUUAACGCAAUAAGUACCCCGCCUGGGGAGUACGG
rnacentral:rRNA from 1 species